AUGGCGGAGGACGGCCUCAACGACUACGAGCGCCUUCGCCAGGAGAACAUCCGCCGCAACCAGGAAAAGCUCGCCCCCCUCCGCCGCAAGGCCGACGAGCUCUCCGCCGCCAUCCGGCUCGCCAAACCUAAGCGGCCGUAUCAGGCCAGGCCCAAGCCCACGGCCCCGACCGGCCCCGUCCGCUCCUCCGGCCGCGCCCGCGGCGUCGCCCCCGACAACCUCCCCCCGGAUCUCAGAAGCACCCGCCUCGCGCCCUCGCUCGCCUCCUCCAUCCUCGGGGUUCCCCCGCCGGAGGGGGCCAAGGUUCGUGCGGCGGGCGAUUUCGAUGCUGGGAGGGACAUGGUGCUGAUGCCCGCGCACGCGAGGAAGGUGAUGCCCUGUUGCAUAGUGUCGAUGCGGGUCCUUCCGCUCGCCGACCGGACCGUGGUGGCGGCGGGCGACAGAAUGGGGAAUAUUGGGUACUGGGACGUCGACGGUGUCUCGGAGGAUGCAGAUGGGGUGUUCCGUUAUUGGCCACACAAGGGCCCUGUGUUAGCAAUCGUGGCGCACCAGGCGGCACCACACAAGGUUUACAGCUCUAGCCAUCAGGGUGAUAUUUGUCUUAUGGACUUUGAGGAGGAAAAGUACAGUAUCAUCCAUUUAUGGGAGUGGCCUGUUUAUUCGCUUUGUCAAGCGCAAAAUAGUGUCGGAUGCCUAUAUUUUGGUGAUGGAAAAGGUGGCCUGACACUUUCUGAUGAGCGCGUGGGUAAGGUGUUAACUACAUGGGAUGUGCAUGAGGACAGAAUCAACUCAAUAGAUUUUCAUCCGGAGAAGCCACAUAUGCUUGCUACCAGUUCAACGGAUCGAACAGCCUGUAUAUGGGAUGUGAGAAAUAUAAAAACGAAGGAGCCAGAUAGCCUGAAGGUUUUCAAACUUAACAAUUCUGCUCAGUCAGCUUAUUUCUCACCUAGUGGCCGCAUGUUAGCAGUAACAAGCUCCAGCAUUUGUGGUACUGUCCAAGUAUUUAGCAUGGAUGACUUUGAAAAGUCGCAUACUGUGGAGUAUAAUGACCAGAAAGGCUGUUGGCCUUCUAAAUCCAAGGUUAUCUGGGGCUGGAACGACACCGACCUAUAUGCUGGAAACAGAAGCAAGGGAAUAGACAUUAUCUCAGUUGAUGUCAAUGACAGUGGCCUCUCGGUUCAGAACAGCUCAUGUCUUAGGAGUGAACACAUGACAUGCAUUCCACACCAGUUUUCUGCACACCCAUAUAAAGUUGGCUAUCUUGCCUGUUCAAGCUCCAGCAGCAAUGUCUUCCUUUGGACCAGAACUUAA
rnacentral:rRNA from 1 species